AGAGUUUGAUCCUGGCUCAGGAUGAACGCUGGCGGCGUGCCUAACACAUGCAAGUCGAACGGAGUUCUUAAGGAAUGCGACUUCGGUCAAAUGACUUUUGAACUUAGUGGCGGACGGGUGAGUAACGCGUGAGCAACCUGCCUUUCAGAGGGGGAUAACAUUUGGAAACAGAUGCUAAUACCGCAUAAGAUUACAGUACCGCAUGAUACAGUGAUCAAAGGAGCAAUCCGCUGAAAGAUGGGCUCGCGUCCGAUUAGAUAGUUGGUGAGGUAACGGCUCACCAAGUCGACGAUCGGUAGCCGGACUGAGAGGUUGAACGGCCACAUUGGGACUGAGACACGGCCCAGACUCCUACGGGAGGCAGCAGUGGGGAAUAUUGCACAAUGGGCGAAAGCCUGAUGCAGCAACGCCGCGUGAGGGAAGACGGUUUUCGGAUUGUAAACCUCUGUUUUCGGUGACGAACAAAUGACGGUAACCGAGUAGGAAGCCACGGCUAACUACGUGCCAGCAGCCGCGGUAAUACGUAGGUGGCAAGCGUUAUCCGGAAUUACUGGGUGUAAAGGGAGCGCAGGCGGGAUAGCAAGUCAGCUGUGAAAACUAUGGGCUCAACCCAUAAACUGCAGUUGAAACUGUUAUUCUUGAGUGGAGUAGAGGCAAGCGGAAUUCCGAGUGUAGCGGUGAAAUGCGUAGAUAUUCGGAGGAACACCAGUGGCGAAGGCGGCUUGCUGGGCUCUAACUGACGCUGAGGCUCGAAAGUGUGGGGAGCAAACAGGAUUAGAUACCCUGGUAGUCCACACUGUAAACGAUGAUUGCUAGGUGUGGGGGGUCUGACCCCCUCCGUGCCGGAGUUAACGCAAUAAGCAAUCCACCUGGGGAGUACGGCCGCAAGGUUGAAACUCAAAUGAAUUGACG
rnacentral:rRNA from 1 species